rnacentral:rRNA from 1 species
CCAUACGGGUUGAAGCAUGACCGUAAGGACAUGUGGACAGUAUGGGAGUGAGAAUGUUGGCAGGAGUAGCGAGAUGUGGGUGAGAAUCCCACAGGCCGUAAACCCAAGGUUUCCAGGGGAAGGUUCGGCCGCCCUGGGUUAGUCGGGACCUAAGCUGAGGCCGAAAGGCGUAGGUGAUGGACAACAGGUUGAUAUUCCUGUACUACCGAUAACCGGUUGAGAGAAGGGAUGACACAGUAGGAUAAGCUAAGCACA